UACGGAGGGUGCGAGCGUUGUCCGGAAUCAUUGGGCGAUAAAGGGCGCGUAGGUGGCCCAGUAAGCGUGCGGACUGAAAGCUCGGGGCUCAACCCCGAGUUCGGCCGUGCGAACUACUGGGCUGGAGCACUGUAGAGGCAGGCGGAAUUCCGGGUGUAGCGGUGGAAUGCGUAGAGAUCCGGAAGAACACCGGUGGCGAAGGCGGCCUGCUGGGCAGUUGCUGACACUGAGGCGCGGAAAGCGAUGGGGAGCAAACAGGG
rnacentral:rRNA from 1 species